rnacentral:rRNA from 1 species
CCUACGGGAGGCAGCAGUGAGGAAUAUUGGUCAAUGGGCGAGAGCCUGAACCAGCCAAGUCGCGUGAGGGAGGACGGCCCUACGGGUUGUAAACCUCUUUUGCCGGGGGACAAACGGCGGCACGCGUGCCGUCCUGAGGGUACCCGGAGAAAAAGCAUCGGCUCACUCCGUGCCAGCAGCCGCGGUAAUACGUAGGGGGCGAGCGUUAUCCGGAUUCACUGGGUGUAAAGGGAGCGUAGACGGCCAUGCAAGCCAGGGGUGAAAGCCCGGGGCCCAACCCCGGGACUGCCCUUGGCACGGCAUGGCUGGAGUGCGGGAGGGGCAGGCGGAAUUCCUGGUGUAGCGGUGAAAUGCGUAGAUAUCAGGAGGAACACCGGCGGCGAAGGCGGCCUGCUGGACCGCGACUGACGUUGAGGCUCGAAAGCGUGGGGAGCGAACAGGAUUAGAUACCCUUGUAGUC